GGGGGUGUGGUGUAACGGUCAGCAUGUGAGACUUUCGAUCUUGCGAUGGGGGUUCGAUUCCCCUCGCCCCUGCCA
rnacentral:tRNA from 1 species